GAUGAAGAACGCAGCGAAAUGCGAUACUUGGUGUGAAUUGCAGAAUCCCGUGAACCAUCGAGUCUUUGAACGCAAGUUGCGCCCGAAGCCUCGGCUAAGGGCACGUCUGCCUGGGCGUCACGCAUCGCGUCUCCCCCAAACCGCCAAGGCGGAGGGGAAGGAAGAUGGCUUCCCGUGCCUCACCCGGGCGCGGUUGGCCUAAAUUUGGAGCCCGCGGCACUUAGCUCUCGCGGCGAUAGGUGGUGAACAAGGCCUUGGCCGUGCAAACAACCCGCUGCGAAGCUCUACGUCACGUGCGCUCGUCGGACCCUUUGAAGUUGCCUUCGGUGACUUAAAACCUUUGCGACCCCAGGUCAGGCGGGGCUACCCGCUGAAUUUAAGCAUAUCAAUAAGCGGAGGA
rnacentral:misc_RNA from 1 species